rnacentral:rRNA from 1 species
UACAGAGGUCUCAAGCGUUGUUCGGAUUCAUUGGGCGUAAAGGGUGCGUAGGUGGCGGGGUAAGUCAGGUGUGAAAUCUCGGGGCUCAACCCCGAAACUGCACUUGAUACUGCCUUGCUCGAGUACUGGAGAGGAGAUUGGAAUUUACGGUGUAGCAGUGAAAUGCGUAGAUAUCGUAAGGAAGACCAGUGGCGAAGGCGGCUGCCUGGCCCAAUACUGACACUCAGGUGCGACAGCGUGGGGAGCAAACAGG